rnacentral:rRNA from 1 species
UAGGGAAUCUUCGGCAAUGGACGAAAGUCUGACCGAGCAACGCCGCGUGAGUGAAGAAGGUUUUCGGAUCGUAAAACUCUGUUGUUAGAGAAGAACAAGGACGUUAGUAACUGAACGUCCCCUGACGGUAUCUAACCAGAAAGCCACGGCUAACUACGUGCCAGCAGCCGCGGUAGUACGUAGGUGGCAAGCGUUGUCCGGAUUUAUUGGGCGUAAAGCGAGCGCAGGCGGUUUCUUAAGUCUGAUGUGAAAGCCCCCGGCUCAACCGGGGAGGGUCAUUGGAAACUGGGAGACUUGAGUGCAGAAGAGGAGAGUGGAAUUCCAUGUGUAGCGGUGAAAUGCGUAGAUAGAUGGAGGAACACCAGUGGCGAAGGCGGCUCUCUGGUCUGUAACUGACGCUGAGGCUCGAAAGCGUGGGGAGCAAACAGG